UACGGAGGGAGCUAGCGUUAUUCGGAAUUACUGGGCGUAGAGCGCACGUAGGCGGCUUUGUAAGUAAGAGGUGAAAGCCUGGUGCUCAACACCAGAACUGCCUUUUAGACUGCAUCGCUUGAAUCCAGGAGAGGUGAGUGGAAUUCCGAGUGUAGAGGUGAAAUUCGUAGAUAUUCGGAAGAACACCAGUGGCGAAGGCGGCUCACUGGUCUGGUAUUGACGCUGAGGUGCGAAAGCGUGGGGAGCAAACAGG
rnacentral:misc_RNA from 1 species